rnacentral:pre_miRNA from 1 species
UUCAAGUAAUCCAGGAUAGGCUGGAUCCUGGCACUGCGGCCUAUUCUUGAUUACUUGUUUC